UUUCUGACCUCGAUGUGCAACGGUAUUUAGCCCCCCUGGCACCACCUCUCUUGGGAUCGACCUGUUUCUCUGCCUGUCCUGUCUGUAAAGCGGAGGCAUUGUGUUUCCACAGCACCGUGUGGAUUUGUAGCAGCUUGUGCGAGCGCCAAGAGUCUUUUGCAGUCAGUCUCUAAUCCAUGUUUUCCCUUCUCUUUCUAGGGACUGGCUGCCUGGUAAAAGCCGUGGAGACAGCAGCCCAGCGUGAGGCAUUCAUCGUAGGAAAGCCCAACCGGUACAUGUUUGAUUGUGUGGUGAGCGAGUUUGGCAUCGAUCCCACUCGUACCAUCAUGGUGGGAGAUCGGCUGGACACAGAUAUCCUCAUGGGCAACACCUGCGGCCUCACCACCCUGCUGACGCUCACCGGGGUCACCACGCUGGAUGAAGUGAAGGGGCACCAAGAGAGUGACUGUCCUGCCAGGCAGAGCCUGGUUCCUGAUUUCUAUGUUGAUAGCAUAGCUGACCUCCUGCCAGCUCUGGGGGAUUAAUAUAGCAAAAUGCUUGUGGCCUCCGCAGCGGUACCCCAAGGAGGGCCCCUGUUAAUCACCUUGUGACAGUAACGUGCUCACUAGGAUACCACCCGGAGUUAGCAACCCUUAGCUUUUUAACCUUCCUGUCCUCUCGAUAAUGAUUUUGUUUACAUCUCAGUCUUUAAAUGCACUUUGAAACGAAGAGGGCAUUAUGGUGUCACCCAAGUCUUAGGGGCUUGGGGCUUUUUUUUUUAACUUAUAAACCACACCCUCUAUCCAGAUGUUUGUGAUACUUGAUGUCAUGUUGUCCUCUAGACUGAGUUGAGGAAAGUAGAGCUGGUUGAUCUGAGGAAAAGAACCCAACAUCUUGCAGCGUGUCCCUGCCUGGGCAGGUGUGGCUCAGUCUGGUUUAUUCAGGGAAAUGACUCUUGGAGUGUGUAGUAACGUAGCGGCUGUGUUUGGAAACGCUUGCGGUGGCUGGCAGAAUUAGCAUUUGACCUUUGCUUUUUUUUUCUGGAUGGGGUCCUGUUUAGCAGCACAGCCUGCUGCGAGCGCAACGUCAGGUCACAGAAACUGAAAUCUGUCUCCUUUAUUUGAUCGAUGCAAAUUGCACUUGUGAUGCAGGUUAGGAUGAUUCCACUCAGUAAAAUACAAACGGUGUCUUCUGUAUACUGUAUUUGUCCAGGUGUUGGAUGUAUGUGUACAGUACAUGUACAUACAAGAAUUACCCUAAUCCUAAAUAUAUAUCAGAAUAUAUUUAAAUUAGAGAUUUAAGUAUAGUAUAUGAUAAUAUAUCUUGUUUCCUAGAAGGGAGGAUAAGAGGAAUGUACUUCACUGAUGACAGAUUUAAUCGUAAGGUUUUGCAUUUGGUAAUGCAGAAGGUCAGUAACCACACAGGACUGUCCCUCACUGCUGCUGCUUCCCAGAAAUAACGGGAUCGAUUAGUGCCGAGUUAGUUCUUGUACUUCCCUCAGCAUCAGAGUAGCCACUUGCCUUGGCUUUAGCUGCAGAAUCUGCACUGACGCUCAGCCCACAGGGGAUGGGUGUAGUACGGCUCUAGUACAGCUUCCCACUGGGAUAAUCCCAUGGGAGUGCUGGCUGUGUGACGGUGGAAUGUGCUUCCUUUCAAUAUCUGAGGUCAAUCUCUUCAGCGUGUGCCUGGCGUGGAGGCCUGGCACUGGCUGCUUGCUCAGUGCUCAACAGAAUAGCUCUAGCAGCGUGUCGAUGCAGUUUCCUUCCACUCGGACACUCGGAACCAGUAGACUCACCACCGUGUUUGUACAGCAAUAACCAUGCAGUUCCUGCUGCCUUUGGGUGUUACAGAAUAUUCGCUGAUCUUGUGCAAGGGGGCUUGUUUGUACCUUGGAGUUUGGGGGCUGUGGUUGUGUAAAGUCACAGAGAAAUGUUCACAGGUGGAACUUUCAUCUGGGUACCGUGGAAAUGGACGUUACGGAUUGACUGCAGCUCGGGUCUGACUUAACGAUAUCAUUUUGGUUCCCCUCUGUGGUGCUUAUCACUUCAGAAUAACGUCAAGUAAAGUAGUAAACGCCGGGAGAGGCGUCUGGCCUCGUCCAGGCAGCUGCAGGGGAACCAUUACCUCCAUUCACGGAUGCUGAAAUGUGCUGGUGAAGGUGUCAAUCGUGCUUCAAAACUCUGUAUCAACUUCCAGAUGGUUUUUAAGCCUCUACUUGAAUUCACAUUAAACUCAAAAACCUGCUUUC